rnacentral:miRNA from 1 species
UGGAUACAUGAGAUGGUUGACCAGAGAGCACACGCUAUAUUUGUGCCGUUUGUGACCUGGUCCACUAACCCUCAGUAUCU